rnacentral:misc_RNA from 1 species
AAGUCGUAACAAGGUUUCCGUAGGUGAACCUGCGGAAGGAUCAUUACCAAAACGUAAGCCAACCACAGCAGGGGUCCGUAACCUUCCAUACCCACGGAUGGGAAAAGGAGAGUCUGAGGUUGACCUUUUGUGAACCAAAAAAACCAUUUCGCUUCGGCAGCUGGGUCUUCGUCCGGUCUUGACCGGGUGGCCUGUCAGCCUGCCGCUAGCACCAAAAAAAAAACUUGUUGUCAAAAACAUUGUCUGAUAACCAAAAUUUUCGAAUGAAAAUCAAAACUUUCAACAACGGAUCUCUUGGUUCCC